rnacentral:rRNA from 1 species
UCGGGUUGUAAAGCACUUUUGUCCGGAAAGAAAACCUUUGCACUAAUACUGUGAGGGGAUGACGGUACCGGAAGAAUAAGCACCGGCUAACUACGUGCCAGCAGCGCGGUAAUCGUAGGGUGCGAGCGUUAAUCGGAAUUACUGGGCGUAAAGCGUGCGCAGGCGGUUCGUUAAGACAGAUGUGAAAUCCCCGGGCUUAACCUGGGAACUGCAUUUGUGACUGGCGAGCUAGAGUAUGGCAGAGGGGGGUAGAAUUCCACGUGUAGCAGUGAAAUGCGUAGAGAUGUGGAGGAAUACCGAUGGCGAAGGCAGCCCCCUGGGCCAAUACUGACGCUCAUGCACGAAAGCGUGGGGAGCAAACAGGAUUAGAUACCCUGGUAGUCCACGCCCUAAACGAUGUCAACUAGUUGUUGGGUCUUCAUUGACUUAGUAACGUAGCUAACGCGUGAAGUUGACCGCCUGGGGAGUACGGUCGCAAGAUUAAAACUCAAAGGAAUUGACGGGGACCCGCACAAGCGGUGGAUGAUGUGGAUUAAUUCGAUGCAACGCGAAAAACCUUACCUACCCUUGACAUGGUCGGAACCUGGCUG